UGUCCGGGACUUGGCCGAACUGUGGAUCAUUCGUACCUUUCGUAGGAUGUAAACCUGUGACUUAUCCACUGUCCAGCCAAAUCCCAGACG